rnacentral:rRNA from 1 species
GAUGAACGCUGGCGGCGUGCCUAAUACAUGCAAGUCGAGCGAACGGACGAGAAGCUUGCUUCUCUGAUGUUAGCGGCGGACGGGUGAGUAACACGUGGAUAACCUACCUAUAAGACUGGGAUAACUUCGGGAAACCGGAGCUAAUACCGGAUAAUAUUUUGAACCGCAUGGUUCAAAAGUGAAAGACGGUCUUGCUGUCACUUAUAGAUGGAUCCGCGCUGCAUUAGCUAGUUGGUAAGGUAACGGCUUACCAAGGCAACGAUGCAUAGCCGACCUGAGAGGGUGAUCGGCCACACUGGAACUGAGACACGGUCCAGACUCCUACGGGAGGCAGCAGUAGGGAAUCUUCCGCGAUGGGCGAAAGCCUGACGGAGCAACGCCGCGUGAGUGAUGACGGUCUUCGGAUCGUAAAACUCUGUUAUUAGGGAAGAACAUAUGUGUAAGUAACUGUGCACAUCUUGACGGUACCUAAUCAGAAAGCCACGGCUAACUACGUG